AGCUGCAGUCGAGAUCAUUCGCAUGGGCGAAGCCUGACGAUGCGACGCCGUGUGGACGAUGAAGGCCUUCGGGUUGUAAAGUCCUUUCGCCAGGGAACAAGAGAGAGCAACUAAUAAUUGCUCAAUUUGAGGGUACCUGGUGAAGGAGCACCGGCUAACUCC
rnacentral:rRNA from 1 species